GCUCCCCGGGCCCGCACAGCGCCCGGCUCCCCGGGCGGCCGAGAGCGAUUACAGCCGUACCGAGCCGUGCGUUUGCAAAUAGCGCUUGUAAAAAUGCAUGGAGGAUGCUGUUCCACAAAGAUGGGUGCGGGUGGCAGAGAUCACGAUAUCUAGAUGGACAAAGUUCAUUUUUGGCUCCAGGUUCACCACCAGAAGAACGAAAUGUGCACUUUAUACCAGAGUAGAAUGUGGCACAAUAAUUAGGCCACUAAGUCCAAGCUUCGUACGCUUAAAUUUGAUUUACUUACAUUUUCACUGAGAUGAGUCGUAGCAAGAAACUUCGUGCCUCCGUGGGGCUGCUUGGGACUCUGUUGCCACCACGUUGUCACUACCGAGCUCCUGCUUUCUCCCACCUCCUACAUACAGCUCAAACUCCAGUUCCCUAGCUCUUCAUAAAGCUUUUUCAGCAGCUUAAUAUUAGGUCCAACUCGCCCAUGUGGAAAAACCUUCAAAUGUCAACAGUCACAGAUAUUAUGGAAAAAGCAGUUGGGCAGUGGCAGCAGUGGCAAAAGUCCUGCUUCAUUAAGGGAUGUAGCCUUUCAGAACCAAAACCCUGGAUGACACAUGCAAACAAGCAGCUUCACAGAUGUACACAUUCCUAUUUGGUCUUGGGUCCUGAACACUGCCAGUCAGGAGUCAAAUGCCAAUUCUGAUGCUCUGAAAUGAUUUGAGGAGGGAAAUCCAGCCCACAGCUGUUCCACUGCUAUGCAAUGUACAGAAGGAAUCAUCUGCUGUAUAUGGUCUGGUGAGAACUUCCUGCAAUAUUUUGAUGGCCAGACCACUUUUAUCACAGAUUUCUCUUUUAUUGCUAUGAGGAAAAUUUUUAGAUCUUUAUAAUCACAGACUGAACAAGUAAGACAUUACCAUUUUUUGCUGUUUGUGCUAUGCCAUCUCUCUUCUCCACAUUUUUUCCUUGCAACAGCAUCGUGAAAGGUCUAUUGAGCAGUAGGGUUGUGACAUUAGGAUCAAAUCCCUUUGUUCACAUCCCCCCAUCUCCUCUGUAAGGGCUGAAAUCUAAGUGACAUGCAAAAUUGUACAGAGCUUUGGAGCACUCACAGUAUGCAAGAUGCUGCUCCAUAACAAGCACAUUCUUGACUCCUGCUAAAUCCAAUGUGAAAUGGUACUAAAGUCUCCAUGGAGUAUGGUGACCACAUUUAAUGCAUUGUUUGUAUUUUCUGCUCUUACUUCCAUGCGCAAUAUUCAUUAAUUUUGGACAGCCUCUAUUUUCUUGUCAUCAUCUAGAAGCCUGUACAACCAUGGACAGGAUCUAGUCUAUGCUGUAUUCCUUAGUUCUGGAUUGUUUUGCUUCCAUGAACAGAAGCCAAAGACUUCUUUUCCACACAGUUCCUCUUCUGGAUGCUGCACUGAUGUACUGGCUGUAUAACAUUUCCAACCUAGUGCCGCUCACUGAGUAAUUUGCACAACCUAUCCAUUUUAGAAAGCAAGCAUGAUGAUUUUCAGAGGAGCCGGUUCUGCUGCACUGCAUCAUUUAGUUGAGGCAACACAACUAAAAAUUACAGGAGCAGAAUUGAUGGAGGACAAGGGAUUUCAAAAUUAUAUACAUUUUAAACAUAAGAAGUGUGAGCUGGUAGGAAAUUUGUUCUCAUUGCUUUUGUUAGCAUUGGCAGUUUCAGAAACAGUCAUGUUUUGAUUGCCUCAUUUAUUUUUAAUAACACUAUUUGCAAGAGGAAUACCAUACUCCUGGAGCACCAUGCCUUUGGGGUUGAUUAGGUAUAGUCUUGUGCACAAGUCUUACAGAGAUUGCAUCGUGUUAAGAGAAAAAAUGCACUAAUAUCAGUGUAGUGCAGAACUGUGUCACUUUAGGGUACAUGUAUCUCUUUUUUUAAUAGGAGAGAAGGCCCUUGUGCAUUCUGGAUCUUGUUUGUGAGUUUUAGCUGCCUAUACUCAGUGUAAGUUGCUUUAACUUUUUUAAUUCUGACAGCCACUACUAAGGACAGCAGAGAAACCUUGCAUCAUCAGAGGAUUUGUGUUGUUUGUUUUUCAACUAACUUAAAUAACUUUGUGUAUUGUUUUUCAACUAACAAUAAACAAGUGGCAUACAAAUAAAAUA